UACCUACGGGGGGCAGCAGUGGGGAAUAUUGCACAAUGGGGGAAACCCUGAUGCAGCGACGCCGCGUGAGUGAAGAAGUAUUUCGGUAUGUAAAGCUCUAUCAGCAGGGAAGAUAAUGACGGUACCUGACUAAGAAGCCCCGGCUAACUACGUGCCAGCAGCCGCGGUAAUACGUAGGGGGCAAGCGUUAUCCGGAUUUACUGGGUGUAAAGGGUGCGUAGGCGGGUAAGCAAGUCAGAAGUGAAAUCCAUGGGAUUAACCCAUGAACUGCUUUUGAAACUGUUUAUCUUGAGUGAAGAAGAGGG
rnacentral:rRNA from 1 species